CCCUUAGAUGUUCUGGGCUGCACGCGCGCUACACUGAAGCUAUCAACACGUUUUCCCUCCCUGAGAAGGGCGGGUAACCUUUUGAAUCAGCUUCGUGGGAGGGAUCGGGGCUUGCAAUUGUUCCCCGUGAACCAGGAAUUCCUAGUAGACGCGAGUCAUAAGCUCGCAUCGAUUAAGUCCCUGCCCUUUGUACACACCGCCCGUCGCUACUACCGAUUGAACGUUUUAGUGAGGCAUUUGGACCGACGCAUCUCAGUUUAACCGCUGGUUUGUGUUGGAAAGACUUCCAAACUUGAGCGUUUAGAGGAAGUAAAAGUCGUAACA
rnacentral:rRNA from 1 species